rnacentral:rRNA from 1 species
GACGAACGCUGGCGGCGUGCUUAACACAUGCAAGUCGAACGGAAAGGCCCUGCUUUUGUGGGGUGCUCGAGUGGCGAACGGGUGAGUAACACGUGAGUAACCUGCCCUUGACUUUGGGAUAACUUCAGGAAACUGGGGCUAAUACCGGAUAGGAGCUCCUGCUGCAUGGUGGGGGUUGGAAAGUUUCGGCGGUUGGGGAUGGACUUGCGGCUUAUCAGCUUGUUGGUGGGGUAGUGGCUUACCAAGGCUUUGACGGGUAGCCGGCCUGAGAGGGUGACCGGCCACAUUGGGACUGAGAUACGGCCCAGACUCCUACGGGAGGCAGCAGUGGGGAAUAUUGCACAAUGGGCGGAAGCCUGAUGCAGCAACGCCGCGUGCGGGAUGACGGCCUUCGGGUUGUAAACCGCUUUCGCCUGUGACGAAGCGUGAGUGACGGUAAUGGGCAAAGAAGCACCGGCUAACUACGUG